UCCAUCCUAUUCUUGCUCUUGAAUAUGAGCAAAGACAUGCUAAUUGGAACCCCUUGACAUUUAUCCUGUUACUCUCACUAGCAUAAUAGGAUAGAUGCAACUGCUACAACAUGAUGGUACAUGGCUAGAUUAUGCUGUGACUUAAUGAGUGUGUGUAAGUGUGUGGUGCCUUACACCAUUUUGACUGGUACUCUUAUUAGCUGUGGUUAAACAUUCCUAACAAGUGUCCCUCAUGCCUUAGUGACAGAAUGGCCUGUCUUAGACACUGCUGCCACACAGGGCCUUCUCAGGCGUCCUUUCUCCUGAGGUAGUUUCAGUGAGAAACUAAGACCAUGUAAAGGUAAGAGUCCGCGGGUACCAAGCGCUCCCACUGCUGUCAGAAGUCCAUCCUUCCCUUACUGUUACCAUGCCAGCCUUCGCUUUCAGCCAAACUCACCUGUUGACUCCUGUGAUAGUUCUUGGUUUUUCCUCCCUGAGCAUCUUUGGUACAGCACUUAUGGAUCUCUGCGCUGUUCUGCUCUCCUCUCCUUAUCUAACUUUAUGGUCUUUUUUCCUCCCAAGCCUAACUGUAACAAGCUUUAUUAAGGAUACUUUUCAUAAACAAUCAUGGUAUUUCAGGUAGGACAUGGUCAGACAAUCAACAGUAUACAAGAACUUCCAAAUUCCCUUCUUGUAUAGACUACCAAAAUCAGAAAGCCACUAUAAAGUCCUGAAGUCUCCAUUCGAUGCUUUGAAAAGGGGGAAGUGGCUUAGAGUGAGGGUGGACAUCUCACAUUAAGGAUGCUGUUUAACAACUUUUCACAAGCUGACCCUGGCUUUCAGGAAAGGAACAUGGCAGAAUUAUCAAUCUGAAGAUCCACAAUCUUUUUAUAAAAGGAACCAGUGCUCUUCUGAGAACACUCAAACUCCCAGUAGACUGGAAAACCAAUUUUGGGUUCCAGGUUCCAACAGGUCCUCUGGUUUUAAGGGAGUUAAGUCUAUGUUGAUAGAGUAGGGGGAAGAGGAUAUAAAAAUGAAUAUAGAAUUUUCCCAGACCACAAGGCAUUUUGCACCAUGGUGGCCACCUAUGUCAAGACCAGGACGUCUUUCCUGGAAACCAACAGGAGCCUUUCAAAAUUAUCAGGGAAAGAUGUUUUCUGUCAUCAGUCCAGCUUGGGAGAUAUUUUGUUAGUGAUGCACGAUCCUCCCCCCAACAAUGAAGUGGGUUGUUUGUUUGUUUGGUUGGUUUUUAGGUUUUUUGUUUGUUUUUUGUUUUUUGUUUUUUGAGAUAGGGUUUCUCUGUGUAGCCCUCCUGGCUGUCCUGGAGCUCACUCUGUAGACCAGGCUGGCCUCAAACUCAGAAAUCUGCCUGCCUCUGCCUCCCAGGUACUGGGAUUAAAGGCGUGCAUCACCAGUGCCCGGCACAAUGAAGUGUUUUGUGUGCUGACAAUAUAGUUUUUUUAAAGAAGUAAAACAGCCGGGUGUGGUGGCACAUGCCUUUAAAAAAGUAAAACAAAAUUCAGUACUUCUAUAAAACUUGAUGAAAAAUAGUAUUCUAAACUGUACAGUCACUAGAAGUACAUAGUUAUAAAAAUGCACACAUGUCACUUGGCAUCUCCAGCACCUUCAGCUUUCUGUGCCUCAUCUGUUUUUUGUCUCCGUUCUCUGCAGGAUUAUUCACAUCCUUACCACCAUUGGCUUUCCCCUUCCUCCCCUCGGGUACCUUUGUCCCUUCUUUGCAGGGGCUGUUUUAGGCUUGGGCUCUGGCUUUGGAGAAGCAGAUUUAACAGACAGCCUUGCAGAUCUUCUCUGUGACUCAUCCUUCACCUUGGCUUUAUUUCCUUUAGCAUCCCGUUCAGCCGUGCUUUUGGGCGUAGCGGGGGCUGAGCUUAGGGAUACAGUGUUGCCACUGGUUUGCUCCAUCUGGGGGUCGUCCUCCAUGAAACAGUUGCGGCUCAUGUUAUAGGUACCAUCUGUUAUUCAGCCUUUGCUUCCUGACAUAGUCGGUUUCUUGUUUUUGAGAUGUCACCCAGGCUUGUUUUGAAUUCCUCUGCUCAGUGCUCCUCCUGCUUUGGUCUCAUGGGUGACUUGGACCGCAAGUAUAUACCUUAGUGUGUGUGUAUAUGUGUGUGUGUGUGUGUGUGUGUGUGUGUGUGUGUGUGUGUGUGUGUGUAGUAUUGAAUGCUCCUGUGUGUACAGUAAAGAUUGAGAUUGAUUACAGGACAAGUACUCUACCACUGAGCUGUGCUCUAGCCCUGAUUUUCAUCCUUUAUUUAUCUUGUGUUUGUGUAUGGUCCAUAACUCUGGGGCACUUAGGAUUCAUAGUGUCAAUCCGAGUUGACAUAAAGGGCCCCAGAACAGAGCAACAGUCCAUCAGAAGUCAAACCAAGAAGCCACAGUAAUCUCUAGCUCUUCUGCACCCUGCCAUGUAACAGCAUCUGUUACUAGAGAACUGGGAGGUUGCUCAGGUACUUGGGUGAGGCAAGAGUAGGAAUACCUUCCCUAGGGCACCUUCCAGACAGAACAUGCAACAGAUUACAGUAGAGAGCUAUUGAGUGAUUUUUAAAUGGAAUGACAGUAGGAAAGUAAAGUCCAUUUUGAGAGAAUAGUGAGGAGGGCUGAUGAAGGCAGGAACAGAGAACUAGUCUUCUAUGAGAGUAGUACUGGCAUUCAAGUUCUGAGCUAACUCUUCAGCCUAAGAAACUAUAAUUUGAUAGCAGUAAUAAGUAGAAUAAGGUAUAAAGGUUAUUUAAUAGACCAUUUCAAAUGAUGUGCCACUUAACUUAGCACUUGAAUAACAAGAAUGAACUAGCUGUGAAAAGUGCAUUUUAGGCAGAUCAUGCACAUUGUCU
rnacentral:lncRNA from 1 species